rnacentral:rRNA from 1 species
GACGUAGGGCGCGAGCGUUGUCCGGAUUUAUUGGGCGUAAAGAGCUCGUAGGCGGCUUGUCGCGUCGUUCGUGAAAACCCGGGGCUCAACUCCGGGCUUGCGGGCGAUACGGGCAGGCUAGAGUUCGGUAGGGGAGACUGGAAUUCCUGGUGUAGCGGUGAAAUGCGCAGAUAUCAGGAGGAACACCGGUGGCGAAGGCGGGUCUCUGGGCCGAUACUGACGCUGAGGCGCGAAAGCUAGGGUAGCAAACGGG